GCUAAGGUAAACUAUAUAGGUUGUUAGGUUCAUACCCCAAAUGAGGAGAAGACGUUGCUCCCCUUAGCU
rnacentral:tRNA from 1 species